AGGUUUGCACAGAGGCAGAGUCAUAGUCGAUGAGGUUUAUCUGAGGCAUGAUUAUUGCUAAUUGAAAAAAAAAGUGGGAGAAACCAGCCCCAGGAAUUCCCUCCGCCAGUUUGCAGGCUGAAUCCACUGCUGUUCCUGGUCCUUGCUUAGGAA
rnacentral:snRNA from 1 species